rnacentral:tRNA from 2 species
GCCUGGGUGGCGGAACUGGUAGACGCAAGGGACUUAAAAUCCCUCGCCCGCAAGGGUGUACGAGUUCAAUUCUCGUCCCAGGUACCA